GAGGGAACCAGUGUGAGAGCUCAGCAGCCAGCCAGCCUGAUGAAGGGAGGCCCGCGCCGAACAGAAACAGUACCUUUAUUCCUGCAAGCUAAGUCUUCUAUAGCCGCUUUAUAAAGAUGCAGUUUCUAAGCAAUGCCAGGCUCACACUGCGGCUAUGAUGAUGCUACAAAAGGCCUGUUAGAAAGUGGGGGAAAAUUGCUGGUCUCACAAAGAUCAUUUCAGCUCUAUCCGGGCCCACUGGACAGCUAACACCAGCAGAAUCAUUUUGGACCAAGAGGGUCAGCAAGAUGGAAUUGAUCCCAUCUAAGGGAGAAAAAAUUCAUCCUCUGUUGAUCCCUAGUACGGGAUGGUAGUGAUUGAGCAGCUUCAAGCUGGAUCCCAUAGUGCCGUUGACCCGCCGCCCUGCGCCCUGACAUACCUGCUGGCUUCCUUUACGUCCGUCACAUGCACAGUCCCUCAGUCCUCCCCACUCCCACCUCUGGGCGCAAGGUACUGAUUCUCUUCUGGCUGAAUGCCACGGUUUGCCCCAUAGAGUAGCCAUGGGCAGCAAACAUGGAUUCAUACAGCUGUCAGAGAAGGUUCGCGAUGAAUAAGUGAACUUAUAUCCACCCUUGAAAAAGAGGCAGGCACAAGGAAGGAAAGGGCACUUACCAGAACUUAAGCUCACGAGCCGGUGAAGCAAGAUCCCCAUACGUGCCACCAGAAGAAAUGAUGCGGGCUCGGCAAGCCAAAGAGCUGAAAGAAAGAUUUCCUGGACUUUCAAGGUCUGGUAGCAGUGCUCCCUUAUUCAGAGAAAAGCAUGGGGACAAGACCCAAGGACACUGAAGAGCUGCAAUGUGUUGAGGGUUAGGGCUACAUUUAUAAGGCAUGGGUAUGUGACUUAUUUUUACCAGACAAAGGAAGGAUGACAUAAAAAGUCAUUAAAAUGGUGUCAGUGCAGAUGGGGUCUGGUUGCUGUGUGGUCGUAUAACUUUAGAUAUGAAACAGGUCAUAUAGAUCGGCAUGUAGGCCAGGACACCCUGGGCUUCUCUCCCUGGGGCAGCCUCGAUCCACAUCACUGGCCUCCGAGGACACUCACUCAGCCGGUCUCUUUGGCAGCGGUCCUCAGUCUUGGCAUUCGUCAAAAUCACCUGCAUGGCUUGUUGAAACAAGAUUUCUAAUUCAGUAGGCCUGGGUGGGGCUCCCGGCUCUAGGCAGGGGAACUUGACAGCAGCACAAAUAAAAGUGAUUUAAAAUCAUUAUGAAAGAACCCAAAAGAAUCAGAGCUUUUUUUUUUUUUCCCAAAC
rnacentral:lncRNA from 1 species